CCACUUCACUGCCUGGUCAGCCUGGGAGGUGGACACACCUCCAUCUGUUCUGCAACAGCAAACAAGCUUUCUGAGAGUUCAGAAGAUCCGUCUAAGCCCACAUAUUUAUGGGAAGAGGGUGGAAAAUCCAAUCCUGGACCCCUUUCCCAGUUCCGGGAUCCCUGUUCCUGAUCCCACUUGUGGACUCACUGCAAAGGUCACACUAAAUACUCUCCUUCGGGAAGUGCCCCUCCAAGCGCCCUGAGGAAAUGGGUGGGAUCAUCUUUGAUAGUCACACCCCUUGACUUCGGGCAGGUUUCUGGCAGGAGACAGAAAGCCACUUCAGUCAUAUAGGACUAAAGGCUGGAACUCUGAGGGGCUUUCAUGAGACUCUGUGCAGGCGGGGUGAUAAGACAAGCCACAGUGGGAGUGGAGGCCCCGGACACGGGAGAGAACAGUGUGACCAGAGGGUUGAAGCCUGCCAGCCCUGCGGGAUCUGCACUCACCACAUAACUUGCAGCAGACUGGUUUGUGGGCCCUGGUUUUUUCACCCUCUCUGUAUCAUUUUCUCACGUGAGUUAGCAGUUCCUCUCUCCGCCCCCAGAGUUGAGUGUGUCCCCUCCCUCAUUACCUUUGGGUUCAGCCAUAUGACAAGCUUUGGUCAAUGGAAUGGACAGAGUAUCCAUUCUGAGCCUCUCCACACAUCCAUGGGUUCUCUUGUGCCUCUGUCAACACCAUUUGAGGAUAUGAUCCAGCUACCCCACCGUCCCAAAGAAGACAAGAAAUUCACAGAGCAGAGCCAGACCUGGCCAGCCACCUCAGGGGGCCCAGGCUGAAUCAGCCAACACCUGGACAACCAUGACUGCAUGAACUGCAUGGUGCUUAUUGCUGUUAAGUUAUCACAGCCUAUGGCUGCUUGUUAUGCAGCAGCAGCUGACUGGUGUACAGUCAGAUCACACCAUUUUACAGGGGAGGAAACUGAGGCCUCGAGGUUAGAAACUUGCCCAAUGGUGUGCAAAUAAUAAAUAGCAAAGGUCUCCUGAUACCUUGCUCAAGAUUCCUUCUUUCUAAUCCAUUGCAGUGACUGUCACCUAUCUUCUGGUUUGUUCAUUUGCUCAUUCAAUAAACAUGUUUACUUGGGUGAUAUGAGCC
rnacentral:lncRNA from 1 species